rnacentral:sRNA from 1 species
AGCAGCCGCGGUAAUUCCAGCUCCAAUAGCGUAUAUUAAAGUUGUUGCAGUUAAAAAGCUCGUAGUUGAAUUUCGGGGUCAGUAGGUCGGUCGUGCCACAGGUAUGCACUGGUCUCACUGAUUCCUCCUUCCUGAUGAACCGUAAUGCCAUUAAUUUGGUGUUGCGGGGAGACUGGACUGUUACUUUGAAAAAAUUAGAGUGUUUAAAGCAGGCUAACGCUUGAAUACAUUAGCAUGGAAUAACGGAAUAGGACGUUCGAUCUUAUUUUGUUGGUUUCUAAGAUUGACGUAAUGAUUAAUAGGGAUAGUUGGGGGCAUUAGUAUUCAAUUGUCAGAGGUGAAAUUCUUGGAUUUAUUGAAGACUAACUACUGCGAAAGCAUUGU